rnacentral:rRNA from 1 species
GGGGACAUACCCUUUUCUACGGAAUAGCUCUGGGAAACUGGAAUUAAUACCGUAUACGCCCUACGGGGGAAAGAUUUAUCGGGGAAGGAUUGGCCCGCGUUGGAUUAGCUAGUUGGUGGGGUAAAGGCCUACCAAGGCGACGAUCCAUAGCUGGUCUGAGAGGAUGAUCAGCCACAUUGGGACUGAGACACGGCCCAAACUCCUACGGGAGGCAGCAGUGGGGAAUAUUGGACAAUGGGCGCAAGCCUGAUCCAGCCAUGCCGCGUGAGUGAUGAAGGCCUUAGGGUUGUAAAGCUCUUUCACCGAUGAAGAUAAUGACGGUAGUCGGAGAAGAAGCCCCGGCUAACUUCGUGCCAGCAGCCGCGGUAAUACGAAGGGGGCUAGCGUUGUUCGGAAUUACUGGGCGUAAAGCGCACGUAGGCGGAUAUUUAAGUCAGGGGUGAAAUCCCAGAGCUCAACUCUGGAACUGCCUUUGAUACUGGGUAUCUUGAGUAUGGAAGAGGUAAGUGGAAUUGCGAGU